GGAAAACGACCUUAUUUGAGGACUAAUUACCAAACUGAUGUAGCUGCGGUACGUGCCACAACUGAAUAAAUCGGCACGAAUUCUGUCUGUAAAUAUCUCACAGGCACCUAGGUACAACGAAAAUAGCUAGAAUAAUUGGCAUUAAUCAACAGGAGCGAAACCAAGAAGAAAAAGAAACAAGGAAAGGGUUCCUACAGGUUAUGCCAUAUACAAAACUACAUCAUUGCAGUGCUUGCCUCGAAGCUCCUUCAUUGGGAAAUCGACGGCCUAACAGAAGCUCGUUCACCCCGGCAUAAAGCAGCCAUCUAUGAACCUGAUUUCUCCGAUGUCGGUUGACGCACUGUAGAUCAAUAGAAGUUCUAAGUACAUGACACACUGGCUUCACAGAACUGCUUGCAAAGUAUAAUCAAUAGUAGUAACCAUAAUCAAAUUGUGCAAUUGCUCCUUGUCGAAGAACCCAAGAAGGCAACCAACAAGGUCCUAUAGCAAAAUAAAUAAGGAUAGAAAUACCUCAUGCUACAUGUUUCAGGAACUCAUCAUCAG
rnacentral:lncRNA from 1 species